CAGCCACCACACUACGUGGGUAAGUAAAGGCCUCUGGGAUCAGCAAGCCUCGGUCACUGCAGCCACCACACUACGUGGCAGCCAGACCCGGUCCGUUUGGAAUGCCUGGGAUGGUGCCGCCGCAUGUUCCUCCUCAGAUGCUCAACAUUCCGCAGACCUCUCUGCAAGCAAAGCCCGUGGCCCCACAGGUGCCCAGCCCAGGGGGCGCCCCGGGCCAGGGUCCAUACCCGUACAGCCUCUCUGAGCCAGCACCUCUCACUUUGGACACGAGCGGGAAGCAUCUGACAGAGCAGAACAGCUACAGCAACAUUCCUCACGAAGGGAAGCACACGCCGCUGUAUGAGCGGUCCUCGCCCAUCAACCCGGCCCAGAGCGGCAGCCCCAACCACGUGGAUUCCGCCUACUUCCCUGGCUCUUCUACAUCGUCAUCUUCUGACAACGACGAGGGCAGCGGAGGGGCGACAAAUGACAGCAGAGCUUUCAACACCUGUUUUCUUACACUGGGUGUCUGGAUUCUGGGAAGACUCCAGGAGUAGUUAGGAUCGUCAAAUACAAGGUCACAAAAGGAUGGCUUAGCCGAGUUCAAUCUCUUCCUGAACUGUGCCAUGUGGAAGUAUAUGUCAACUCGUGAGCAAGGUGGACAGCGUGAGUUCAGUCUUCAUCUAAAUGCAGCCCUGGACAGUCAAACACUUCACUAUUAUGCUAAUUCAUCCACUGUGGACAUAUCACACUUUUGGUUAUGAUGAUUCUUCAUCUUUGAGGGCAAUAGACACCACCUAUGUUUUGAGAAGGUCCUGGCAGAAGCAAUGAUAUGUGGAAUAAACAGAAUGUCAAGCCUGCCUGGGCAAAGUUCAGGUCCCUCCAGUUUACUGAGGAACCAAAAGAGACUGCAGUUGCCAGUCUCUCUCCAAAAGCUAAUUCUAGUGCCAAGCUCAUGGGAUGCCGGGCACACAUGGAUUCCAGACAAGCGACCCAUGUAUUCCACUCAGAGUCAAGGGCAUGGUCGUGUUGAGUCAGACACUGAGUCUCCAGAUAUGCUGUGAGGACAGGACGUCGUUCUCCCAGGAAAGGAGCUGCUAGGAAGACAGUGGGGGAGGAAGCGGGUGCAGCAGUAAGCAUCCACCUUCAGCCUCCCUCCACCGCCCCCUCCCCUCCCCCACUCAGUGUCUUAUUCAGAUGCUGCUGGGUGGGGCCUGGAUGUCUGUAUUUUUUGCAGGUUCCUCUCAGGAUUCGGAUGCAGAGCAAAGCUGGGGCCCAUCCGAGGGCAUCGCUUGAGACUUGCGAAGGGGAUGCUUAUUUCCCCAGGUCCAGCCCACAGGCCCCUAGCCUCUCACGGCUCCUGACCUUGUGGUCCACGGUGUGACCAGCCUGUCCUCCCACCCCCAGGCUCUGUCGUCCGCCAUCUGUUGUCUGUGGCUUAGCUGCAGGGUGUAGCUCACACAGGCUCCUGUCCUGCCAGCUUCCUUGGGGUCCAGCCCCCGGGGAACCCCAGAAGGAUAGCAGGGGCAGGGGCAGGCUGGGGCCAGGCGCUGAGCCUCCCAGCUCCUUCCUGCGAGGCCACCUCAGCUGGCUCUGUCGUGGGCUGCAGGCCAUGCUCCUCUUCCGGGGUGACUCUCACAGCUGUGUUCCUUGGGGCUCCUCCAACGUGACCCUCCUGUGGCAGCCCCAGGCCUGGAGCCGGUCAUGGCUGGAUGGGGACGGCCUCCGGUUCCUACCUGCGUGUGUUUCUUGACGCUGCUCUAAGGUCUCACCCCAGCCUGGCAGUCUCAAGCAGCACAAACUUAUUACCCUCCUGUCCUGGAAGACAAAACUGAAAAUCAGUCUUGCUGGGCGAAAGUCAAGGUCUGGGCAGGGCGGGCUCCUGCUGGGGGCUCCUCCUGCCUUCUCCGACUUCCCAGGCUGCCCAAGGCCCUGGGCUGCUGCCCGGUCCUCCCCUCCUGGUCUCCACUCAGCAUCUGCUCUCCGGGUCCUGCUGCUGCUGUCACACUUCCUCCCCUGACCCCUCCCUCCUGCAUGGAGGAACCCUGAGAUGAUGCUGCAUCUGCCUGGCUCAUCACGGCCUCUCCCCACCUGAAGAUCCUGUCCCAAGUCCCAUCAGCGAGGGUGCUGGUGCCAUGUGAAGGUGACAUGCACAGGACCAGGCAUUCACAUGUGGGCCCCUUGAGGGGACAUUAUUCUGUCUACCAACACUGCCUUCCAGACACCCACACUUUUGGAAACAGUCCCUUGUGUAUGAACCUUCCUCAAAGUCACCCAAUUCCAGCACUGUCUGUUUCCCUGACAGGGUGUGCUGUCCUUGGCUCUUAUUUCAAAGCAGGACGAGAAGGGAAACCCAUGCCUGUCAACAUUCCCUAAGCCCACUGUGCUGCCUGAACAGAUAUACAAUCUCUUGGGGAUUCCGUGCCACUGACCACCAUGUACAAGGAAGGGAUUCACAGGCAAGGGGUACAG